CCUACGGGAGGCAGCAGUAGGGAAUAUUGCUCAAUGGGGGAGACCCUGAAGCAGCAACGCCGCGUGGAGGAUGAAGGUUCUAGGAUUGUAAACCCCUUUUGAUAGAGAAGAUAAUGAAGGUAUGUAACGAAUAAGCAACGGCUAACUCCGUGCCAGCAGCCGCGGUAAUACGGAGGGUGCAAGCGUUACGCGGAAUCACUGGGCGUAAAGAGUGCGUAGGCGGGUUAGCAAGUCAGAUGUGAAAUCCUAUGGCUUAACCAUAGAACUGCAUUUGAAACUGGUAUUCUAGAGUAUGGGAGAGGUAGGCGGAAUGCGUGGUGUAGCGGUAAAAUCCGUAGAGAUCAAGAGGAACACUCAUUGCGAAGGCGACCUGCUAGAACAUAACUGACGCUGAUGCGCGAAAGCGUGGGGAGCAAACAGGAUUAGAUACCCUAGUAGUC
rnacentral:rRNA from 1 species